CUAGCGACAGGCGAACCGGCGAAUGACGAGCCAGAUGUUUGCGUCAUUCGUCAGACACGCCGCCGAAGCGAGAGAGAGCGGCCGCACAUCUGAGCGUUGGACUGUUUGGGCGCCCGUCUGCCUGUUCUUCUAUUUUGGUAUUUAGCCUGGUUUGGUGGCCUCCCGGCGAAUUAUUGCGUUCAUUCGGAACUUCGACAAGGCAGCACUGCACUAUUGGACUACGGCAAGCUCACAUCGUCUGGUGGAGCUUCCUGCGGAAACUACUGCUGCUUACCUGGUGCCACAACGCUGGCCGAAUGCACAAAAGCCCGCGACGAGCAUGUACUAAGAAUAAAAUAAACGUUAAUUUUUCCACAUU
rnacentral:lncRNA from 1 species